rnacentral:tRNA from 1 species
GUGAGUGUAGCUCAGGGGUAGAGCACAUGUUUAGCAUGGACAAGAUCCUGGGUUCAACCCCCAGCACUGAUA